GAUGAACGCUGGCGGCGUGCCUAAUACAUGCAAGUCGAGCGAACAGACGAGGAGCUUGCUCCUCUGACGUUAGCGGCGGACGGGUGAGUAACACGUGGAUAACCUACCUAUAAGACUGGGACAACUUCGGGAAACCGGAGCUAAUACCGGAUAAUAUAUUGAACCGCAUGGUUCAAUAGUGAAAGACGGUUUUGCUGUCACUUAUAGAUGGAUCCGCGCCGCAUUAGCUAGUUGGUAAGGUAACGGCUUACCAAGGCGACGAUGCGUAGCCGACCUGAGAGGGUGAUCGGCCACACUGGAACUGAGACACGGUCCAGACUCCUACGGGAGGCAGCAGUAGGGAAUCUUCCGCAAUGGGCGAAAGCUUGACGGAGCAACGCCGCGUGAGUGAUGAAGGUCUUCGGAUCGUAAAACUCUGUUAUUAGGGAAGAACAAAUGUGUAAGUAACUAUGCACGUCUUGACGGUACCUAAUCAGAAAGCCACGGCUAACUACGUG
rnacentral:rRNA from 1 species